rnacentral:rRNA from 1 species
UGGGGAAUAUUGGACAAUGGGGGCAACCCUGAUCCAGCAAUACCGCGUGAGUGAAGAAGGCCUUCGGGUUGUAAAGCUCUUUUACCGGGGAAGAUAAUGACGGUACCCGGGGAAUAAGCUCCGGCUAACUUCGUGCCAGCAGCCGCGGUAAUACGUAGGGAGCAAGCGUUGUUCGGAUUUACUGGGCGUAAAGGGCGCGUAGGCGGCGCGGUAAGUCACUUGUGAAAUCUCUGAGCUUAACUCAGAACGGCCAAGUGAUACUGCUGUGCUAGAGUGCGGAAGAGGCAACCGGAAUUCUUGGUGUAGCGGUGAAAUGCGUAGAUAUCAAGAGGAACACCUGAGGCGAAGGCGGGUUGCUGGGCCGACACUGACGCUGAUGCGCGAAAGCCAGGGGAGCAAACG